GUACAUAUGUAUAUAUAUCAUCAGUUCAGUGACUCCAUAUAUAGUUUUCUUUUGCUCACAGCAUUUUGGUUGCUUCCUGAGCAUGGAUGCUUCUUUCAGGGCUUACAAAGGCCCCUCUUUUGAUCAGGAGGCUCUAUUCAUUCUUGAAGGAGAAGAGUAUAAAGACCAGACUAUGCUGGUCACCGCUCUCUCCUCUAGGUUCCAGUGUUCAAGCCAGAUGAUGUGGGAUUCCAUUAUGUCUCUCAGUUGGGACGCCCCCCUGUGUGAAGCUGGGUUGACAGGUGAUUGGAGUACAAGGGCAUACUCCUUUCAGUGACUCUUUACAGCCCACUUUAACCCAGCGUUAAUUUUGGCCUUUACUCAGCAAGGGCACCAGUGUUGGCUGGAAGGCCAUGGGAGGCCAGGUAGGGAGCAGGAGCUGUCUCCUGCCUAAUGAAGGCCUUUAUUAGUGGCUCUUGUCCCUAUGAUUUGAGCCCCAAGUUCAUCCACUUUCAGUUUUUCAAGAAGCCAAGGAUUUUUUUUUUCUUGGUAACAGGGACAGGCAGCUUCUCUGGGGAAAUAUGCUGAUAACAUUUCACUGUAAAUGCUUCUUUUGAUUUUAUUUGCACAUGAGAAUUCUAAGAAUCUGCAAGGUACAAAGUAAGACUUAAGUGAGCAACAUUUCCAGCUUGAAUUAAAACUAAUAGAAAGAGUCCGUGUUGGUAGGAGGCCCUAGAGGGCAAGACUGAAGCAGGAUUGUGCGUCACUCUCUAUCCUUGUUUUAACUUCUGCGAGGACUGGAGGUCAGCAAAGUGUCAAGUUGCCUCCAGAGCUUUGCUCCUAACCAUAUCUUGUCCUGUGUACUUUCCGUUCUUGGCAUUAUUGGACAGCAAGUGUUCUAAACCUAAAUUAAAAUCAAUAAGAAGCAAUUUCAUUUGUGUUUAACUAUGAAGACAAGUGCUUCCAACAGAACAUUGUACUUUUGAGAAAAGUUCGGUUUUGUUAUUUCUUUCUGUCUUAAAAAUAAUUGUUCAUGGUUGGUGCCUCCAAAUGUGACUAUUCUUCAGUGUAAGCCUUGCUUUGAUGUAAAGCCUUGCUCACUACUGUGUCGGCUACUGAUUUCUCUUGACUCAUGGAACUAUGUAGUUGCCAAUCAGAAUAAAAAACGAAUUGUAAGUCACUGAUCAGAGUGAGGAAUUUCAACACUUUUGGGGGGAGGGUGUUGAGAAAAUUUCACUGUGUAGGCCAGGCUAGCUUCAAACUUACAAGAGAUCCGCCUGUCUCUGUCUCCUGAACCCGGGGAUCCUGGGAUGAAGGCACAUCCCCUGUUUCUGCUAAACAUUUGAGACAAAUCAUGCAUAUAGUUUUUUUCUUAAUUUUCCUCCUAUUACUUAAUUCUUCCCUUGUUUUGCAAGUAUGAGUUCUGAACUAAUUGCUGUUUUAAUUGCUUUCAUUAGGUGAUAGAUUCCUCUGACUGAGUAGACUAGACAUUUUCCACCCCUAAAUAUCCAGGAUUUGAAACUUCCAGUCUGGAAAAUUUAAAGUGAGAAAGAGAAGAACCGUGGUUGUCUUGGCAGCGGAGAUCUUGCUAAUUACAGCCGUUGUUAUCUGUUUAGGAUGCAGGCAUCAGGGACACAAUUACCAGGUCACGUUUGGUAAGGUCUGUGGGGUUGGACUCUGGUGGGUGAGAUGUUGAUGUGAGGAACAUGGGAGAGCUGUGUGGGGAGCGAGGGAAGCCUUAGGUCCUGUUGCCUUGGUGGCCACCCUAGCUGAUUUAAAACAAACAAACAAACAAACAAACAGCAAAACAAACAAACAAAAAACCCCUAAAGAAGAGCCCCGGAGUAGCGAUGCUCAGGACUGGAGAGAGCCUUGGGACCAGCAAGGCCUGCUUACAUCUCUUUGUUCUUGCUGUUGUCUAGGACCAUCUCCUUCCCCUUGCCGGCAGUAACUACUGUGCUAGGAAAGUGGCUACUGCUUCCCUUUCUGCUGUAUCUUUAUCAGGCCAUGUGCCACCCAGGUGUGUCCGCUGACCACAGGUGGUCACACAGCACUAUUGAUUAGGUGCCGUCAAGCGUGGACUGGUUCUCUGUAAUGAAUGGGGUUACGAUGGGAUUCAGGGCAUGCGAUUUCUUUUUUGUCUUACCUGUUAGUUCGGGAGCAGCAGAUACAGUCUUUCAGUUCUGGGCACUGAACUCAGAACACACCAGCUAGCUGAACACCAGGUCUUCAACAACCACCCUUGUGUUUUAAGUGUGUGUGAAUGUUGGUGUGUUAGUGUAGGUGUGUAUGUGCACUUAUGCAUGCACGAGAGGGUGUCCAUGGGCCGGAGACAGCUUAGUUGUCAUUUUUUGGGAACCGUGUCUUUGUCCUUUGACAGUUUGUCUCUACUUUGCCCCAGGCUCAUUGAAUAGACUGUGCCAGCUGCUUGGCGAGCCCAGGGACCUGCCUUUGAGCUGGGAUUACAAGCAGGUGUAGCCAGCAUUCUAUAUAGGUUCUUGGGAUCUGAUUCCAGUGGCCAUACUGGCUUGUGCUUACUGGCUCUCUGUAGCUCUCAUGAGACAGAGUCACGAUGUUUAACAUGAUUCAGCAUUGAGAGAUCAGUGAAAUGAGUUUAUAAAACAGAAGCAGAGAUAGCAACUGCCCUCAACUAUGUCAAGAUGUAUUUAACAGAGUGUAAUGGGAAUGCAAUACAGCGUGACUGGGUUGUGUGAACUGGCUCUGUUUGCGUUUAUUCAGUUAUCACAGGAAUUCUCUUAGUAAGAAAGCACACGUUUUAUGUUUUAAGCAUGACCCUUUAAGGCUCUGAGUCUGUGGUCCCACCAUUAUCUUGGUUAUCUCAUUUCUUAAUUCUUCUCAUGAAAUCUAUAACUUGGGAACCGAGGAGAUGGCUUAUUUGCUGAGGUGUUUGUUGCACAAGCAUUAGAAACUGAGUUCAGACCCCAGCACCAGCACCAAGCUUCCAGUGACCCUAGAGGUCAUCGGGUGGGGCCUGGUGGUGUCAGUCUGAGGAGCUCAGCGUGGUCAGGACGGCAGGGCUCAUUGCUUUGUCUGUAACCCUUUGAGUUAUGGACUUUGGUCACUGGUGAUGAGUUGAAGAGACAGGAACCAAGUGGAGGUGGUUCUGUGGAUAGAUGGAUAUCUCAGCCCAGUGUGGAAAACUGAAGUAGAAAAAGAGUACAUGGGUAAGGUUGGCUAUUGGGUUAGAUUGACUGAAAAUGCCUCCUCAGGCUGGCAUGGGGCUAAAGACCCCCAGUGUCCAGAAAUCUAUGGAGGAAACUGAGGCACUGGGCAAGAGAGGAAGCAGGCUGGCAUCAGAAACGUUCACCUGACACAUGCUGCCCUGUGUGUGAAGACUGACUGAGGCCUCUAGUCUCUGUGGACUCUCUUGGCUCUCGAUUCAUGGGUCUGCAAUUUGGUUUCUGAUUGGAUGGAAAUAGCCAGGAGUGUGUGACUAUCUCCUCAGCAUAGGAAACAUGGGCAUUUGUUUUUUCUUGAAGUAGAUUCUGUUCCUAGUUGAUGAAAAUGUUCUUUUCCAGAGCGUUUCAGCUACAUCUUAACUGUUUUCACUAUUCCUCAGCAAUAGGAAGCUAUUUUCCCAGAUUUACAUUUGUGAAUAUAGGAACACAAAGACAAUUCUUAUACAAGCAAUAAAGUUGUUUAUCAUUGUAUUGCUUGCUUUUUUUGUUCACUUACAAGUUUAAAAGAAACCCACUUUAUUUACUUCAUAUAUUAGCACAGUCCUUUUAAUAGCUGUGUAGUAUUCCGAUGUUGAAAAUAUACCGUGUUUCAAGUCACAAAUGUUCUUGUGUGCUUCUCCUUGAGUGUACAUUUGCCAGUAUCUGCUUCAAGUAGAAAUGGAAUGUUGGCUUUACCUGGGUCUUGGAUAACCUAGGCCGUGAGUCAGAUUUCCCUGAGUUGUCUGACCUUUCGGCCAUUGAUUUCUUCCCUGCUUUCUUCUUCCAUCCUUUCACUCUGACAUCGAUGAUGGUGUAGGGCUGUGUGUGCAUUUGUGUGUGUGUGUGUGUGUGUGUAAGGGGUUGUUGUAAGACGGCCUGUACUUAAACUAGGUACUAACAGUAGGCGAGCCCUCUGCCUCUGAGUCCAUCCCAGUCCCUUGAGAGGGCCUGUGGAGAGAAAAAGCCUGUUCUGCAGAGCCCAGAUACAUCUCACACAUUGAAUCGCCCUGCAGUGUGCUGCUAUGCCUCCUGUGGUGGUGGCUUGACAGAAAAGGUGACAUGCACAGAGUCAGGACAAAUCUGGGCAGAUGUGCUUCUCUGCAGUUUUCCCCAUCAGUCCCCACUGAGACCCCUCAUGCCUGUGUCAGCCCAGGGAUCAACAUUGCCUUUGUUUGUCAGCUUAGGGAUGGGGGAAGGGGGAGAGAGAGAGAGAGAGAGAGAGAGAGAGAGAGAGAGAGACUGGGGAUGGCGUGGGGGGAGGAAGGCAUGGAGAACUGAUCCCUCUGGAAGUCUGUCCCUUCUAUUAGGUGUGUCACAGUUCCCCCUUCGCUAAAGUGCGCCCGAUUUCAGGAAUUUGAGAUGAAUGAAGGUUUCAUCAUAAACACGAUGCUUUACUCAGCAUCUCUGUUCUCCUCAUUUCCGUUCUGAUGGAGGCAUUCUUAAUGAGGAGGGGAUUAGGAAGGAGGGCAGUGGUCAGGGAAACAGAAGAAAACAGAGAGCAGCAUGCCUGAAUAGCUAGCUGGGCCUCAUCAGGACCUCCAAGGCAAAGGAAAGACGCAGAGUUUUGUGGAUUAUCACGGCUUCUCUUUCUCCCUUAAGAAUUUAGAGCUUUGUCAGCAAUGUCGACAGAAGACAGACAGCUGUGUUUAAAAACUAAGACGGCAUCCCAGGGUGCUCACUGUGACUUGGAGUGAAUAUGUAUUGAUUGUUAGAGUUAUUUUUCAAAAUGCCAUUUCAAAUGCAGAGUUAAGUACUAAGCCAGUAUGUUUCGUGUGCAUGCGUGUGUGUGUGUGUGUGUGUGUAGGCCAGAGUUUGACUUUGGCUCUCACAGAUCACUUAAACUGGCUGGCCAACAAAGCCCUGGGACCCACUUGCCUCUUCGUCCCCAGCACUAGGAGGAGCGGACACACCUGGCUUUUAAGUGGGUGUUGGGACACAGAAGGUAGUUCCUCGUGCCUGCUCGGCAGCUCAAGCAUGGAUAACGGAGUAGCUAACCUGUUCUCAAGUGAUUAGAAAAAUGAGCUAGGAUUUGAAAGCACCAUGGUUGUACAAAGCAUGUUCUAAACUCUAGUGGAAGAAGCAGCUUAUUCGGGGGGCAUCGAUAGGUGGGUUACAACCCAGAGUCCUGCACCUCUCCUGUGCAGGCACACUGGGACUUGUUACUUAUAAAGACAUUUAUUUCUUCAUCCGGAGACUACUGUGAAUUGAGCUGUUGGCUGAGGUAACCUCAGGCAAGCAAGGCACGCCUUUGCUGUACCUCUGAGAUCCCAGGAGUCCACACAGGACUGGCAGAGUUAUCACGUGGAGGUUGUUUAUAGGACAGGGCCAACUUCAGAGGCUGGUAACUGCCCUCACCCGCCAUAAUUCAUGAAUCACUGACCGCUUACCCUCUCCCCCACCCCCAGAUGCUGGUGUUUGGUGUUGAUUAGUUUGCAUCUGGAUCUGCUGCAUGCACCUGCAUACCGAGUGCAACAGUAACAUCUCCUUCAUAGACAGACACACCAAGACUCCCGGUUGCUUUUGUGCUGUGCUUGCUGGAGUCACCUGCUAGUGAGGAGUUUGUUUCCUUGAUGGGCACCAGAGUCCUUUAAAGAGAUUCAUAACUCCCACUUCUGCAAAAGGAGAAAGCUGAUCAUAAGGAGCUGUGCAAAGAAGAUACCUAGACAUGUUACGGUGGGAUUUCCCAUUACUGUUUUUUAUAGCGAUGCAUUUAUUCCCCAAGUUUGGACAUUGAGAUCAAUGUAUGGCAACAGUUUCCUGAUUCUAAGGAAGAAACUGGAUGCUAGAACUUGGGCAAAGGAGAAAUUCUUUGGUUACCUGAGGAGAUGAUAGUAGACACACACACACAUACCCUCUCUCUAGCUCUCUUUCUUUUUUCUCACACACUCCCUUUCUCUCAUUCUCUUUUCUUCUCUCACCCUAUCCUCACCCCCAAACAGGGUCUUAAUAUGUAGCCCUGGCUGGCCUGGAACUAGUUAAGUAGACCAUGCUGGCUUUGAGCUCAUAGAGAUCUGUUUGCUUUUGCCUUCUGAGUAGCAAGCAAAGAUUAAAGGUAUACUCCAACAUUUACAAGUUUGGUUUGUUUUUUAAUUACAUUUGUUUAUUUUAUAGGGGUGGGGAGGAUUGACCAUGGCUGAAAUGAACAUUUCUGUACAGUUUUACAGCUUUAUAGAGUCUUAGUUUUACGGCUUUGUGUAACUGGUUUGUAUAAUUGAUAAGAAAUUUAUUACCAUUUACAUCACAGUCAAAACUUAGAUAACUUUUAUGCAGGAUUUCUUUAUGUUUUCUUCUCAACGAAUAAAGCUUGAAGAAACCACUGAUAAAACAUUAGCAUCACUGUAUUUUUAAUGAAGUCAUGGAAAAUAUCUUUAUUUUACCUAUUUGUUUUCCUUAGAGAUUUAUUUUUAUGUGCUUGUCUAUGUGUAUCAUGUUCAUGCAGUGGCUGAGGAGGCCAGAAGAGGGCAUCAGAGAUUCCCCUGGAACUGCAGUGGCAGAUGGUUCUGAGCUGCCACAUGGCUGCUGGGAACCUAUUCUGGGUCCUCUGCAGGAGCAGAGGCUCUUAACUGCCCAGUUCUCUCUUCAGCCCCCAAGGACACUGUAAAAAAGUAAGCUAUGCAGUCCUCAUUUUCUUUACCUGUGCCCUGUUCUGGAGAAACAAAACAAAACAAAACAAACACCUCUGGGCAGGAAGACAGUUAAUUUUAGAGAAAAAUGUGAUUGUUCACAGUUAGUAAUUGGUUUUAGUAAUGGGGAAUGGAUUCUGAGAUGGGAGGACUGGGAAGUAUGAUAUGAAUUUCCUGAGAAUCAAUACAAAUGUUAUAAAAAAAUAAAAAUGUUAUGUUAAAAAAAAGUUGGAAAAUGUGCACUUUAAAAUUGAUUUUUUUUUUGCCGGGCAGUGGUGGCGCACGCCUUUAAUCCUAGCACUUGGGAGGCAGAGGCAGGCGGAUUUCUGAGUUCGAGACCAGCCUGGUCUACGAGUGAGUUCCAGGACAGCCAGGGCUACACAGAGAAACCCUGUCUUGAAAAAAAUGAAAAAAAAAAUUGAUUUUUUUUUUUUUGGGGGGGCCAGGCAUGAGUAGUGCUCAUCUUUAAUUCCAGUACCCCAGCAGAGGCAGGUGGAUCUCUGUGAGUUCGAGGCCUGCGUCUAAGUCUCAGGGUCACAAGACUGUUGCCCAGGAAGUUAGGUGUGACAAUCAUAUAUAGUGAAGACGUAGGCAACAGUGUGUACUUCUUUGGUGGAUUAGUGUGAAGCCAGGGCCUUCAUAGCAGUACAUCAUUCUGGUGUGGCAGAAACAACAAACGUUAUCUCACUGUUCUGAAACAAUACAAAUGUAUUAUCUUGAUUAAACAAAAUGUAUUCUCUUGCCGGGCGUGGUAGUGCACGCCUUUAAUCCCAGCACUCGGGAGGCUGAGGCAGGCGGACCUCUGAGUUCGAGGCCAGCCUGGUCUACAGAGUGAGUUCCAGGACAGCCAGGGCUACACAGAGAAACCCUGUCUCGAAAAAAACCAAAAAAAAAAAAAAAAAUGUAUUCUCUCACUCUUCUGAGAUCAAGGGAUGGGUGGGGCUGGUUGCUUCUGUGGAAUUCUUGUCUUAGCUUCUAGGACAUUAUAGGCCACCUUUGCUGGCAGAACUAUCUCCAUGUUUGCCUUCAUGGCUGUGCGUGUGUCCCCCACAUUUCCACAUUUUAUAAGAAUACCAAUCAUCUUGGCUGCAGGUCAUCUCAACUCAAUUCAGUUUGCAGUUAUUUGAGGUCAGAUGAUGAGCCACUGACACUUAGGCCACAGGAUGUUUUGGGGGACACAACUGUCAUGACACAAGUUACUAGCUUUGUGUCUCUAGACUUUCUAAUAAUAUUGGCCUCAGCCAGGCAACCUACACGCUCAAAAUUAGCAGCGCUCUGCUGUGUGGUGGAGCCUCUCAGUGCUCCACUCUUCGCAUUCUUCACCACAGCAAACACAUGCAUUUGUGUUCCUGAUGGCUGUAGCGGUCUCAUUACUACAAUAGAAGGAAGCACACCUGGAGACAAACGGACACACUGCAGAAUCUUCUGCUUGUCGUCUUCUUCUGGGUCUCCAAAGCAUAAUGAGUAUAAUCUCCAGUCACAAACAGGAAAACUCGGAUUUCAAUCAAGCUCAGCAGGAGGCAAUUACAACAACAUUCAGGAUGUUAUUACAGAAAAUGGACUGCAUGUUUAGGGCAAUUCAAAGGAUUCGUCAUUGGUAAUUUGGACAGGCUGAUACUAUACGUGAGUUGUGGCCACAAACUGGCUGUGUACCUAAGGAUCAUAUUAAACUUCUGAUUCUUCUGUUUCUUCCUUUCUCAUGCUGGGAUUACAAGAGUGCACCACCACGCCCACUUUAUGUGAUAAAGGGGAUCUGCCCAAGGACUUCCUCCAUGGUACGCAAACACUACUAAUUGAGGAUAUCUGCAAGCCUGAGCUAGGCACUGACUAUUGACUUAAUAUUCUUACUGUAGUUUGAUGAUGCUGUGGUUUUUGUUUGUUUGUUUGUUUGUUUGUUUUUUUAAAUUCCAAAUAGUAGUUGUCUUUAAUACUGUAUUUGGUAGUAGAACCCAUUUCAUGGUUAAAAUUGUACUGGAUACUGUAAGAAUCAAAAGCCUUAAAAAGGAUCAUUGCUAAUCAAUUCAGACUUCUGAUCCAUGCAAUCUUCUUCUAUGAGCUGAUUUAUCCAUAACAGUCAGGGAAGUCAGAGAAACCGUGGCAUGAAAGUGUAUGUGUUCUUCCUGUGGUGUGGGUUUUAACACCUAGGAAAAAGGUGACAAAAACCAAAGGAUAAUACCUGGAGGAUGGAGCUAAGUGUCAGGGAGAAGUGAGGGAUAAGGGAAACUGGGAGUGAUUGGAGGCAGGACUUUGGCAUGUAGGGUUGCCAUCUUCUUUAAAUGGGUCUCUCUGAAGUCAGUUUGUAAAAGUACCUUUUGUUUGCCUGAUGUAAUUGUCAUUUCCAAGGCUUACUGUCUCUGACGUAGGUCUAGUCCUGAAAGCUUCUGGCCUCUGUACAAUCUUAUCUAGGCCUAGAAGAUUUUCAGCCUGUGAGACUUACUGCUGAAUAAGCUUACCUUUUUUUGUUCUUUCUGAGCUCUGGCUGGCUGGUUCAUUUUAGUGGUUCUGGUUUAAGCUCUUUUUCCAAGCUGACUGAUUCAAUCUGACUCUUUUCUGUUCUUCUGAAAUGCUCUGCUUGGCCUCAUACUAACUUGGCAAUAUGUUUCAAUCUCCUGGCUUCUUCAUACUCUGGCUUGUUCUGUCUUUACCUAUGUCUAGCUUGUUCUCUGCAAACUGUCUCUGUACAACUGUCCCAGUAAAACUGCCUCCGCUUCUCUUUCUGCACUGCCCUUUAAGUAGUUUUCCUUUCCUCUCCUCUUGAGAGUUGGUCAUAUCCUAUCUUGUCAAAUCUUUCUCUGAUUCAUCACUUUGUCUGCCACUCAAUUAGACAUCACUUCCAAACAUGGUGCUUCCUUCUACAAACUAACUUUACUUUAAUUGUUUGGGAUUAAAGAUAGGUACUAAGGAUGUGACUGUAUUCCAUCUAGAGGGCUGUGCCACACCACAACUAGAAACACUUAUUUUUUUCAGUAGGUAAUACAAUCUUGGGGAUCAAAUAUUCUGCAACAUCAGCUGACGUUGAACAUUUAAAGCAGGGAAGGCAAGCCUGUGGUGGUGUGGAGCAGAUGCCUCAUUAUCAGGUCUGUCCUCCUCUUAGAGAUUGUCUGGAGGUGGCUUAGCACAUGAAGUGCUUGUUACUCAACCAUUAUGACCAGGCUGCCAUGACCCAUAAUCCCAUGGCUGUGGAGGCAGAGACAGGCAGAUCCCUGGGGCUCACUUGCCAGCCAGCCAGCCAGCCAGCCUUCUUGGUGAGUCGCAGGUUAGUGAAUGACUGUCUCAGACAACAAGGUAGACAUCCACAUGUGCACACAUGUGUGUGCCCUCUCUUUUUUUUUUUUUUUUAAAGAUUUAUUUAUUUUUAUUGUAUAUAAGUACACUGAGCUGUCUUCAGACACUCCAGAAGAGGGAGUCAGAUCUCGUUACGGAUGGUUGUGAGCCACCAUGUGGUUGCUGGGAUUUGAACUUCGGACCUUCGGAAGAGCAGUCGGGUGCUCUUACCCACUGAGCCAUCUCACCAGCCCCGUGUGCCCUCUCUUGCUCACGCAUGAGAACAAGGCCCAGAUCACUAGGAAAUAGUGGUAGAAUGGGAGGCUGUCCUGGCUUUGUGAUGCCGCUUACUGAUUUGUGGUGCUGGAGUCUUGUAGGCUGUUUUUGAAGUCACUUUCCAGCCUGUGGUCAGACUGUGCCUGCCAAAAGACUCACUUGGGUCUCCAGGGUGCCUAGCUCAUGGUCAUUGCUCACUGAGCAUGUGCUAGAGGACCCCCCACUUUAUAGUUAGAAAGAAGCUCAGAUGCCCCAGAAACAGUUGGGAACACGGUCCUUAGCAGCAUAAGACCCACUUCCUCAGGGGACCCCACCAGUCACAUAGCCCAUUCUUCUGAAGCCAGGUAAACACAAGCUGCCUUGUGCAAAAACAGGCUUCUAAUUUUCUCUGUGGGUCACACUAAACAGUCCCUUGUUCAUCCAAGACAGGGAAAUUGAUUUCAAAUUACUCCCAUAUUGGUAAAAAAACUCCAACUGCCACGCACGCUUUAUGGAAUGAGGGAGAAAGUAGGCCCAUGGUUUCAGCUGCAGUAAAACUGGUUUAAUUAAUUGAGCACUGUCUGUCACUGUCACGCAGCUGCUGUGUUCUGCUUCUACAUGAGGCUAGGUUGGAAUACCAUGCCACAGCUAGGAAGACAGCAAACAAUGUCGGUCUGCUAUGGAGGGAUAGUGGACAUGGUCAAGCCCUGGUCUGCACAGGGGCUGGGUUUUAAGGUCAUGUUCUAGGACCCGGAGGUAUUGGAAUUGCAGAGCAUGCUUUGAGCUUUCCUUCUGCUCUUUGCCGAUUUCAUGGGUCACUGCCUGUGCCUAUGAGAGCAGUUUGUUACAUAUUCAGGAAUUUGAAAGCUGGUCUACAGUAAAAAUACAGAAUUGUGUAAAGUUUCAAUUGCCAUUUAUUUAAAAAGUAAUGAAUAUCCCAAGUUCAUCAUAAAUCUCACUACAUCUGACUGUCUCUGUUUUGGAGGCUGUGCCUGUGGCAUGCCAUUGUACACACCCUCUCAGAACACCACCUGCUCUUGGCAUGCUUGUUUUUGUCUGUAUCUCUUUGAGGCACUCUUCGCAGUUGGUCUCUCAUUGUCAGGAUGAGGACUUGGUGCCACUCAUCACUGUAGAUGAGUUAAGGGUACAUCUUCCUCAUCUCUCCAUGUCACUGUGACCAACACACCCAGCACAGACAGGCUGGACAGAGGUUUAUCUGGACUCAUGAUUAUGGGUGGCUCAGUCGACUGUCGUCAUCCUUCACUUGAGCAGGGCAUUAUCACAGACAGAGGAGGAGAGUUACUCUCUCAUGGCUGACCAGGAAGUAGAGAGACCAGGGACAAUGGUCUCUCUGAUUCACUGCAUUAACCGCUCUUCCUCACUGGCCUGUUUCCUCUCUUUAGUUUCCUCUCUUUAGUUAUUUUAGUAAUUUUCCUCUCUUAAAGUUUCCACAACCUUCCAAAACAGUGCCCUGUGCUAGAGACCAAGAGUUCAGAACACAGCCCAUGGAAGCAGUUUGUAUUUAACCCUUAGCAGGGCCCAGCCCAUUCCAGGGCCUCUUUUUCUUGAGCAGUUGUAUUCACAAUCGCCUUGUCAUUGUGUCAUUCUGAGAUGUUGGGGUAACAGAGUUUACAUGUCUUUUACAGGGAGGACAAAGUUCAAUCCUUAACAUCACUCAGUAUUUUCAAGCUUCCUACUGGGGCUACUUUCUUGUAUGAGAACAACUCGCAUAAUAAAAGUAGGCACCAGAGCCCCUGUGUGCAGUAGUCCAGUCCCUGUGUGCAGUAGUCCAGUCCCUGUGUGCUGUAGUAGUCCAGUCCCUGUGUGCAGUAGUCCAGUCCCUGUGUGCAGUAGUCCAGUCCCUGUGUGCAGUAGUCCAGUCCCUGUGUGCAGUAGUCCAGUCCCUGUGGCACAUUUUGCACAUGUUCUCCCAGAACUCUUCUCACUCAGCAGCGUGCUCAUCGUUAUUUCUAGGUUUUAAAAUAUAUUUAUUCAAUUAUUGUAUUUGCUACAUUAAUUCUUUUGAUAUGUGUGUGUGCAUGAGUGUUUGGCCUUCAUGUAUUUAUGUGUCUCCUGUAGUGCCUGGGGCUUCUGGAGGUCAGAGGGGAACAUAAGAUGUCCUGGAACUAGAGUUUAUGGUGCUGAGAAUCAAAUCCCAGUCCUCUGCAAGAAUGACAAGUGCUCUUAAGCAGCUAAGUCAUCCUUUCAAUCCUUUUUAAAUUUGUUGUGUGUGUGUGUGUGUGUGCGUGCAUGUGUGUGUAUCUCUGUUCCACUUAUCAGAGGAUAUGUAGAAAGAUCAUAAAAUUUGUCUUUCUGAGACUGGCUUACUUCAUUUAACAUAGUGAUCAAGUCUAUUUUACUGCAGAUCUAUCUAUCUCCCUCCCUCCCUCCCUCCCUCCCUCCCUCCCUCCCUCCCUCCCUCCCUCCCUCCCUCCCUCCCUCCCUCCCUCCCUUCUUUCUUUCUUUCUUUCUUUCUUUCUUUCUUUCUUUCUUUCUUUCUGUUUUUCGAGAUAGGAUUUCUCUGUGUAGUCCUGGCUGUCCUGGAGCUCACUCUGUAGACCAGGCUGGCCUCGAACUCAGAAAUCCCCCUGCAUCUGCCUCCCAAGUGCUAGGAUUAUAGGCAUGUGCCACCACUGCCCCGCCAGAUGUUUCUUUCUUAUAAACCUUGUACAUUCAAGUGGAGCUUAGUAUGAUAUGCAUUGCCUGAUUUAUUUCUCGUGACAUUUUGAAGAUAGAGCUCCAGUCUUAGGGAAGGGGUGGGUGGAGGACUUUGUUCCUGGGCUGAGUAUGGAGCUGGUACAGGGACAUCUGCACUCACAGACCCCCUUUAGAUUCUGCCAUAGUCUGACCAAGCAAAUGCCACACCUCAGGUACCUCCCUUUACUGACUCUUGUCCUUGUAUAGGAUUUAUUUCCAGAUCUCUGUUUUCUCAUUCAGUUGGUAAAUGCUGAGAAAACACUGAAGUGCCUUUAACACGGGCUGUGGCUUGUAAGUCAUGCCACUUACUGGUCUGUGUUUCAUUCUGGCUCUUGCUUGGCGAUGAGAAGGUGCUAGGUCCUUCAUAGACACAUUUCCUGACUAGGACAGGGAGUCUGCCUCUGCCUGGACAGGGAGUCCCAUCUCUGUGCCUGGACAGGGAGUCCCGCCUCUGUGCCUGACAUUUUCCUGGUGGCUUGCAACCUUCUGCUAUAUUCUUUUGCCACACAACAGACGACUAGAAACUCAAUGACAACAUGGUGUAGGUUCAGGAAUUGGGCAUGAACUGGAUUCUUUCUCAGGCUGAGGGAAAAGUGUCAGUCACCCUUUGGACACAUAUGAGGCUUGGGCACUGUGGGUGGGUAGCACUUAGUGUUCUGUGGUUACAGGGUGAAAGCGUCACCUCUCAAAGCCAAACAUCUUUGCAAUUAAGAGGAUCUCAACUACAUGAACAUUCUCUUCUUGAAAGGUCUGUUCUCUACUGUCUCUGGUCUUAGUUAGGUCACUGUCCCUCUAUGAAUUAAUUCUCUUUCCAAUAAAUAAGUCAGCUGAUGGGGGACUUAAGGAUAUUGUAAGGAUUAUGUUGGUGGGUACACAUGAAGGGAGUGUGAUGGUUUGAAUAUGCUUGGCCCGGGGAGUGGCACUAUUUGGAGGUGUGGCCUCAUUGUAGUAGGCGUGGCCUUGUUGGAGGAAGUGUAUCACUGUGGGGGUGGCCUUUGAAGGACCUUCUUCCUAACUGCUUGGAAGUCAGUCUUCUCCUAACUGCCUUCAGAUGAUGAUGUAGAACUCUCAGCUCCUUUAGCCUGGAUGCUGCCAUGCUCCCACCUUGAUGAUAAUGGACUGAACCGCUGAACCUUUAAGUCAGCCCCAAUUAAAUGUUGUCCUUUAUAAGAGUUGCCUUGGUCAUGGUGUCUCUUCCCAGCAGUAAAACCCAAACUAAGAUAGGGAGGUAGGGUUGUUAUGUUAUGUUACGCAGUGGAAGAGAAAAACUGCAUGUAGAUGUGGACUCAGGGAGGAGACCAGGACGUAUUAGCGGCUGAAUGCAAGGUGGGCUGGGUAGAUGCUGUAGAGACCUCCCAUGUAUAGCAUGGUUGAGUUCUGGACACCCAGCAUACAGUGUGGAAAUGGUAGUUACCGGUUCUACACUUUGAACUUGAUGUUUGCUAGGUGGGCUCAACUUACCAGUUCACAUGCAUUUACGUGCAGCAGAUCUGUGAGGUGAUGGAUGUGUUUAGUAAAUAGUGGUAAUCAUUUCUUAAUGUUUACAUGGAUCUGAUGUUUAUGUUUCACACCUUAAAUUCACGCAAUGUCAUUUGUCAGCUAUACCUCAAUGAAGCUGGGAAAUCAAGAAGAGGUGAUGAUCAGAGGGGCCGUGUUGGAGUACUGUUGCCACAUUUGGAUCUUCUCUGGUUGCUCCACUCUUGGGUUCUGACUCCGGCCAUGCCCAUCAUUCCCUGACCACUUUAGCUAAACAUGCCCAUGGGGUUCGUGUACAAGUCGGGGCAUGGAAAUUAGACUGAUGGGCUUUCUGGGAAGAGCCUCUGAGUUGUCAGCCUUGGCGUGUGUAGUAUCAAGAUGUGUCCUCAGAAUUUUUGCAUAGGGUACCAGUUUUCUGGCUUUAUUAUCAGAGGUACCUCUGUUUUCCAUUUAGUUACUUUUUAAAAUUUAGUUUUGAGACAUUCAUAACACAGAUGGAGUAUAUAUGCUUAUACACAUCAUAUCUAUUCCCUGCUUCCCCCUCCAGCUCCUAGACUCUUUCCCACAACACCACCCCACAACUUCAUGUCCUGUUUCUUUAGCCCACUGAAGUCUUUGGUGCUUCCAGAAUAUGCAUAGGUGUUGCAUGGGCAACCUAUCCAGGACCAUACCCUUAAGGAAGAUUGAUUCUUCCCUCUCUAGUAGCUCUCAGCUGUCCUUAGUUCCUCAGCUAGGUUUGGACUUAUAAUCUCCUUCCUAUUAUCAUUUAAAUAUUCUUGAUUUCAAAGUUAAGACAGUGGUGCAUUGGAUUUUGAGUUGGAAGGGUGAGAACAUGACAUCCCAUUGCUCAAAGCAGGUAGGACUUACUGUCAGAGUGGAAUGAGUGUGUUAUGGGUUCAGGAAUGGCUGGAUCCAGAUUCUUAAACCAUGUGUCAAUAUAAUUUAGUUUUAAUAUGAUUUAGUUUCGUGUGUGUAUGUGUCUGUUUAUGUGGGUGCACGCAAACCUGUGUACAUUUGUGUGUGUGUGCAUUUGGAGGCGAGAACUUGAUGCCAUUGUUUUUCUCUGUUGUUACUGUUAUUUGCUGAGACGGGUCUUUUCACUGAACAUGGUGCUCAUCAGCUGAGGGUGCGCUGGUCAGCCAAUAAACUCUAGUAAACCAAUGGUAUGCCCUUCUUAUUAGGUGAGCGUUAUAGGCAUUGGUCAGCAUAGCUGGCUUUUUUAAAUGGGAAGCUGGGGUACAAGUUUUAUCCCUAAGCUUAGGUAGUAGCACCUGACCAGACUGAGCCACCUCCACAGCCCGAUGUCAUGCUGACUCUGCUGUUUUGAAAGCUUCUGUGAUGUUAGAAGAGAGAAGGUGGCUAUCCUCUCCCCUGAGCACUUAGAACAAUGGUUCCCAACCUGUAAGCCGUGACUCCGUUGGGGAUCACAUAUUACAUAUCCCGCAUAUCAGAUAUUUAUAUUACGAUUCAUGACAGUAGCAAAAUAGCAGCUAUGAAGUAGCAAUAAACUAAUUUUAUGGAUGGGGGUCAUGUGGAGCUGUAUUAAAGAGUCACAUUGUUAGUAAGGUUGAGAGCCACUGUCCUAGAGCUUCCACAAUAGACAUAGUUUCCUAUUUGUAAAGAGUAAGACGUUUACUCAGGCUAGAUACCUGAUUUCCUCUCCGUGACUUGGUCCUGGAUUUUGUCUCUGUGUGACUAAAACAGGACCUCUUCCUCUGCUCUCAGCCUACAGUCUGGUGUUUUCUUAGGAAGCAGGAGUCUUUGGCAAGAGAAAAAGGAGAAACCCUUGGCAAGUGACCACUUAGGAGCCCAAUGUGAUCAGGACACCCCAUACAGAUCAACUUAAUCUAAUUCCAGGUGUUUCAAAUGGAUAUUCCUUGCUCUGCACCCUCCACAUUACAGCUGUAGCACAGCUGGAUAGUAUCAGCUGCCUGUUCAGUGGCCUUGGCUGUGGGCUUUCUAUAGGGUGUAAUCAGGAGUUCUCACUCGGCAUGUGCAUCCUUUAAAGACUUAGGAAUACCAUUUCCAGUAUUCUACCACUGGGCACCCUAAGUCUGAUCCUGCUGUGUUCCUAGGACUUGUUAACACUGAAAUGUCUCAGACUUCACACUAGCCAGAUUGUCACAGACAUGGACCCCAGAGCCGCAUCUCUGCUGCUGUCAUAUCAUGGGGUUUUUCUUCCUCAAAAGGAGGCAGUUCUAUUCACUCUUUGAACUUUACAUUGCUUUAUUUAUUAUUGUUCUUUUUAAGGAGGGGUCUGAGCAAAGGCCCAGGAUGUGGCUGGAGUCUGAUUUAGCCUGUUUCUUCUCUCCUGCUUCUCCUUGGAAGUAAGUUUUUUCUUGGUGGAGAUAUGGAGGCAGCAGUUAUAUUGCCGAGCUUUGGCAGUUAGAUGACCUGUUUUCUCCAUCAGUUGUCUAUAAAAGGCAGAUAUUGGAGUUAUAAACCAAAUAAAUGCCAUCUGGCCCAAGAAGCUGUAGGACCAAGGCAUGAGAGCAGCAGGGAGUGGCCUGACUGCCGAAAGCUGGAUACAGCUUGCCUCACGCCCAGGGCCAGCUUGGUCUGGCGUGAGUUGGUUCUUGCCUAGCAGGGAUCUGAGCCAGUGCUGUGAAAUCAUACUUAUAUUUCCGUAGAACGGGAAGGGCCGACGGUUCCCUUGAUUAGCUGCAGCUUUUAAAGCUUGCUAGUGAUAUGAAGGAUGGAGUCGUCCAUGGCCUUUGGGCCAGGUUUGCUCCAUGUGUGGCCACCCUGCCCUAGUGGUCUGUCUUGCCCUGGUCAGAAGCCCUUGUGAGGAUGAGUUUUGGUUCUGAAGCAGCAUCUCUUCCAUCGUCCUUCUUCCUCACAAAGCCUCAGUUCGGCAUAGAAGUCUGCCUUCCUCUUUGAAGCCUUUUACCUGGGGGAGGAGUCAGACUUCCCUUGUGCUUUGGACGUGCUUGGUUAUUUAGAUUCCUUCUUUACGAUUGGUUCACCAUUGAAUGUGUGAUACUUGUCCUGAGAAGCUGAGGUCUCCUCUGCUCUAAGUGCCCCCCACAGUGGCUGUAGCAGACUCCUGGCAGCCUCGUGGAUGAGGAGGGCUGACUUCAAGGCAAGGGAAGACCUGUCCUCUUGACAGUAGCCUUCAGCCUUUAAGUUUGUCCUUUUUGGAACCUCUAUUUGUAUGAGAUAACAGAGUUGCUUUUAUUGCUUUUCUUUCUUGUAAAGGCAGCUUGGAUUGACCUAUACACAGAGCAGGGGAAGCCCCUGUUCAGUUCUAAGCCUUGUGAACUAUUGGUAAUAAAGAAGCUUUUUUGCUGCUGAAAAUGACUGCCAUUAAUUCUGACUAAGAGCUUCAUCUUAAGUCUUGGUACCAUUUUCUGGGUUUUGGCCUAAGUUGGAUAGUUAUCUAAGGCAAGGCUCUAUCUUUCUGCAGAGAAGGAAGCCAUUCUAUGGGCAUGGUAGGGAAAAAGAAAGCAAUCAGGUCUAUGUACUGCAGGGCUGAAGUACCUGUGUUGGCCAUAGAGGUUUGGGUCCAGGUCAGGGGAGCAGGACCUUGGUUCUCAGGACUUGGUUUUUGCAGGUGAAAUAGGAAUUUAACUGGACCAUGACCUUUUCCGUUUAUGUAAUUACUUUUCAGGAUGAAAUACCUUCAACCUGGGAAGAGCCUUGCCUUAAAGAAUAAACUAACUUGAAUUUUGUGUAAUCCAAAUAGUUUAGGUAUUUAAAAAAGUACAAAAUAAAAAACAGUUCCUGCCUCACUUAUGGGUUUGAAGGAAAGUCCAAUUGAAGCACCCGACAAAACUAAGUAUUGUGGCUGUUUUUCAUCUCCUGUGUGUGUGUGUGUGUGUGUGUGUGUGUGUGUGUGCACAUUUGCAGAUGUGUUCUAAGGCUGCGAAUCAACCACUGGUGCUGUUGGUCCUCGGAGUUGUUCAUGUCCUUUUUUUAAAGGCAGGGUUUCUUCUUGAGCUGGCUUGCUGGAUAGGCUAACCCAGGAGGCCAGCAAACUCUGGGGACCCACGGCACUCCCUCCCCAGCACAGGCGUCACAAGCCUAUGUUCUCUCACUUGACUUUUUUAAAAAAAUAGUUCUGGGUAUGAAACUCAGGUCUCCAUGCUUAUGUGACAAGCCACGUCACUAGGCACUCCUCCUUUAAAGCAAGUUAUAGUUUUGCAGUUUAGAGCAAAAAAAUUUUUCUUGUUUCCUCCCAAUUUAUGUAGAUUUUUGUUCCCACCCCAUCCCCAGCUAGUGGAAAGCUAAGAGCCUGCAUGCAUAGGAAUAGCACAGAUUAAAUCUUGGUCACAUACAACUACGAUCUGCUUGUAACUAAUCACUGCUAGGUGGGCAACAUACAGAGGUAGUGAGGCAUGUGGAAAGACUCAUGAAUUCUGAUGCCACCCAGGUUGGGUUUGAAGCCAAGUUACCUGUGGGAUUUUCUUGCUACUGGACCUUAGCAAAUAGCUUAUUCUCUUUGUGGCUCAGUUUCCUAAUCUGUGCAUUGAAAGUGAUUAUGACACUGUCCUGGUCGGGAUGGGAGAAUUAGCAAUUUAGCCCAUCACUACAUUAAAGGUACUUGGAAUUGCUCCUUGGAUAGUCUGAGUGCCGUGCAUAUUUGCUGUUCCUCGUAACCCGAAUAACUAAUGAAAUCUGCAGCUUACUGCUGGCUGUGUCAUCAGUCUUCCUUAGAUAUUUUAGAAGACCCUAAUCAAUUGGUAGAUGUAUUGUCACUGUCUCUUAGAUUACAAGUGAUUUAUUGCUGGAUAGAAAUGGCUCUGGGAGGUAAGCUUGUGGGAGAGUGUCCAUGGGCCAAGUGUGCAGGCUUCCAUCCAGCAGGCAUUCUAGGGAAUAAAGAGAUUAUAUAGUGUGUUUGCCUAGCUGGGUCUGGCUGUACUCAGGUUGACAGUUAGCCGAGGCUAACUGUCUAAGGAAGCAGGCGCUAAGCAUUCCUCAGCACUUAACACUGCAGCAUAUGGUAUUUAAUAACACAAGCAUUUCUCUGUUAAGCCACCAUUGCUUUCAAAGACAGGCAGUCUUUCCUUUUAUUUCUUGCCAUUAUUUAUUCUUUCUCUGCCUGUUUUUUCUGAAUGUCAAGAGUGAUGUCUGUUUAUGAAUAGGAAUCUCAACUGUCCUGUGGUACUUAACACUAUGAGAUUUAGGACAUCAGACCUGUUGACCUUUGAAGACAUCCUGGAGGACUGAUACAUUGCCAGGCCUUGGUGACACCCUGUAGAGCUAUGGCCCUUUGAGGACUCAGUGACAUUAUGUAGGGCUAUGAUCCUGGGAUGGUGUAGUGACAUUCUGUAGGGCUGCGACUCCACGAGGACUUGGUGUCAUCCUGUAAGCUCAUCUUCUUAUGAGGGCAUCUUGAUAUCCUACAGGAGUAUCCGAUAAGGUCCCUGAAAUGAUGUGGUGGCACUCUGUAAGACUGAUGUGAUUGCAGCCUACUACAACACCACUUACCCUUCUUGGACUCCAGGUCUUCAUGUGUGGGGUGGGAAUCCUGAUCUCUCAGAGGCUCCCUGUGGAGCACACGGAGGCCUGUGUGUAAGCUGGCCAGCACAGCGCCUUCUUUGUCUUCUUUCUUGUUUUACUCUCUUCAUUCCAUCUAUUUGCAGCCAGCAUCUUGGUUUUGGAUCAGAAAGCUUGAACUCUGCUUAAGUUUUCUGAGAUGGGAGAUUAACAGGAGAGGAAUGGCUUGUUUUGUUUUUGCUUUCAUGAGUGACUCAAAUGUUUUUUAUAUUUCCUGUUUUGAUAUGGAAUCUUUUUAUGCUGCUCUGGCUGCCUUCAAACUCAAGACCUGAGAAAUCCUUCUGCCUCAGCUUCCUGAGCAGUAGGCACUAUGGGUCCAUGCCAUCAUACGCAAACGAGUCACUACUUACUUCUUGGGAGUUUUCAGGGUACUUUGAUGUUUUUUCUGGACAUCGAGAGUGAAUUAAGGGUUUGGUGAGCUUUUUCUGUGAGGAGCUGAGAGUGGACGCUUUGGCUCUGUGUGCUGUCUAGUUCAGCCAGGCCUCCACCUAUUUCCUUCAUAUCUGCAGCUCACUGGAUAGUUGAAGUGCUGACGUGGCAACAGCCAGUGCCUCACUGAACACUCCUGGUCCUGUACUAAUAAAACUUUAUUUGAAUUUCAUGUACUUUUAAUGUGUCAUAAAAUAGUAUUUCUCUUUAUAUUUUUUCUACCAACCAUUUAAAAAUAGAUAUUUUUUUCCCUGAUCACUUUACUUGAGACCAUACCGAAAGAUGGAAAGAUGGAGUGGGAGGAGUUUGCUGCCUUCCUGAGUUUAAAAGCUGGUUAAUAAACUCUAUUAGAACCCAUGCAGUAGGAGGCUGUCCUUGAAGGAGUUUGUCUGACCCUAUCCCCCCCCCCCUUUUUUUUUUUUUUUUUUGGACAAAGUCUUAUCUUACUUCUGACUGUCCUGGAACUCACUAUGUAGACCAGGCUAGUCUGGAACUCACAGAAAUCCUCCUGCCUCUGCCUCCCUAGAGUUGGGAGCAACCAUGCCUGGCUGUGGCCACACCUUUGUGAAUCAUCAUUCUGGAGAAUGUAUAAAGACUCGAGUGUGACCGGAAAGCACAAGUACUCCCUUUGUGUUAGUUCCAGGUGGUUCUGGAUAAUGGCGUGUGCUGCCUGUGAGCCCAGGGCUCCGUUUCCUCUUCUUUUGACAGGAGGUUGGUCUCAUGCCUUCUCCUGACUGUUUUGACCCUCUGCCUUCUCUCUCCCGUCUCCUGCAUUAAAGGUGCAUUAAUAUCUUCUCAGUGCAGUACUUUAAGAGUUCUUACAAUGAGCGGGGAGCAGUACUGUCCCAUAAUGGUGCAUAAUCAAUGGAGAGAGAGCUUGUCAGGUUGUAAAUCACUGAAGAGCUUAGAUGACAUCAGCUUCGGGGAUGGAAUGGGAUCCCACGAUCUGCUCAGGUUCUAAAUUCUCUGGUUCCUGGAAUUAUUAUUAUUAUUAUUAUUAUCAUUCUAAACUUGCAGUCAUCUGGUGGAAAGUCUGCUGCUGUGAACCAGCCAUCCAUGACAAAGCACAGGUCAGCUUUGUCUCCUAGCCCCCUUCAUUCCUCCGUGUGGUUCACCUGCAAUGGGAAAUGCCUUGGAUACAGCUUCAGUGGUCACUGUGGUGCGCCUUCUGCUUAACUGUCAGAGAACAUCUUUCCCUCCAGAUGCAAACGGGAAGCUGACACCCUUUAGCCCAGCAGCACCACAGCAGAUGCACUUGAUGAUGCUGAGAAGCACUUUUAAGAGAAUAAAUACCUUAUAUUUCCCAACUUAAUGCAGAGAGGUUAAAAACAUGGUUGGUUGGUUUGUUUUAGCAUAGACCAGGGACAUUUUUGAAGCCUUUUCAUCUAGCAAAGCCAGGUUCCCUUUCGUCAAAGCAUCAGCAUUGCUUCAAUAUUUAGGUAUUAAUAUUCCCUUGUGGCUCAAUCAGCUCUUUGAAAAUGAAUUUCUCGGCACUGCUGUCAUAAUUAAAGACAGACAUGCUGAGGUGAACGGGAAUUUGUGUGUUUCUAAGAUUGAAAGGCUGUGUUGAGUCAAAUGAACAUCCUCUCAAGGUUAAGUUAUCUAUUUAAAUCCCUCCCAAUUACUGUGCCAGGCACAAUCUUUGAUGAGAUGCAGGGAGAACAAAUGACUUAAUCUGUGGGAGAGAAAUUCUCCAUGGGAAGGGAAGCCAUGGAAUUAGAAUGAACUGGACAGUGUUUGUUAUUAAGGGAAAAUAGUUACAUAAAUUGAACACGGCAGAGCCUCAGUAAAACACCAGCCACUUUUGGGUUACUAAGGUGUUGUAAUGGAAGAUCAGAAUGGUGGCUUUUUUUCUUCAUUUGGAGCAGUUUGGACCUCAAGCCUUCUCCCAAAGCCUGCUGAAGGAUGGGUCCUUGCUCUUGGUGCUUUGGGGAAAAUUCUUGAUGUGAAUUUUGGGACCCUGGCCCUUCCUGUGUUUUAUUGCUUCCUGGGUGCUAUGUGGAGAACAAGUAUGUUCUUGACUCUGUAGUGUAUUCCUGCCAAAUGUAUUUACCACCUCAACCCAGACCCCAGAGCAAUAUGGCCAAUUAGCCCGGAGCUGGGAGAAGAAUGCCUGAAGCUGGGAGCCAAAAUAAACCCUUCUUAGCUAUCUCAAGUCUUUGUCACAGGAAAGGAAGUCUGUCAGCAUACUGAGUAUGCGCCUUAAGAGGAGAAGAACCGUAAGGUGGCCAGAGUCCCAGACUAGCAGCAGACACUGUGAGCCUGGUCGCAUGGAGAAGUAGUCUCACUGAAAACAGCUCUCAUUGCCUUGCUCUCUGCAGUCAUUCCAAGUCUCAUUGCCUUUCCCCCUGACUCUUGCUUUCCACUGGGACAUCUGCUGGCAGGCCUCUGAGUAGUCCCCCUGCUUUCAGAGCGCGGGGGGGUGAGGGGCAUGCCUUGGACCUAGGUACUGGCAUCUGGAGCUAGCCCUUUCUGCUUCAGCCCCUCCACACUUCUGGUCUCUUCUCACUCCUGGCUGUGGUGCCCUGUGGGCCUGGCUCCCUUCUGUCUCCCCAUCCUUUCUGAUUAGCUGUGUGGGGUACCUGGAUGGUAUAGCUGUAUAGGCUUGCCUGGAUGGUCUAGUGGUCUAGUGGAGGCUCUGGAGUCAUACUGAUAGGUUCAAUUCCUGGCUGUGCCACUCACCAACAUGUGUAAGUAGCUGAAAACUUUCUGGGUCUUGAUUUCUCCCUCUUUGAGUUUCGUUUUUUAUAUAAGUUUACUUGAGUAAUACUAAUUCCCCUGAGAUUUUUUAUUGAGGAAGAAAUAACUUAACAUGGAAAGAAUUUAGUCCAUUGAUUUCUACUUAGUGAGCUCUAUACAGAUGCUGCUGCUUAAAAAGAGACAUUGUGUGUGUGUGUGUGUGUGUGUGUGUGUGUGUGUGUGUCUCAGAGGACAGCUUUGGGGGCUUCAACCCUUGCCUUUACCUUGAUUGAGACAAGGUCUCUGUUUUCUUCUCUGAGUGCCAGGCUAGAUGGCCCAUGAGCUUCUGGGAAUUCUCCUCUGUCUUCUUGCUAUGGGAACACUAGGAUUCCAGAUGUGUGCUACUGUGAACAUUAUGUGGGUUCUGGGGUACCCAACCCAGGUCCUCAUGCUUACAUAGCAAAUGCUUUAGACACUGGGCUCUCAACAGCUUCCGUGAUACUGGUUUGCUGGGAAAUAACUUGUAGCGUCUUAGCACCUUGGAGUUUUGGAUGGCUGCUCUGUCUCUUGUGGUAGUAUCUCUUAAGCACCUUUUCCCCUCCAGUUUCGAAGGCUUGGCAGGGUGUCCCACCCUCAGACUCUGCAUGCACUCUUCCCAUCAGCGAUUAAAGAGAAAAAGUUGCAACAGUAACAGCACCAUAAAAUAACGGUGUCACCCGACUAUACCUGGGCUCAUCCCUAUACAGAUUUAUUAUCUUCCUCUGGAGGCUUGGGUUCCGGUUUUCAAUAAGCAAGGAGAGCCUGUAAAUGAUCACAAUUGAAAUGCACCGUACAGUUCUCAGACCUCAUUCAAAUAUGCCAGAGCAAAGGGAAGGUACUUAGAACCCUGUGACCUCUCAGUCGCCUUCAGAUCUGUGGCGCUUUCCCAGGCUCGCUCUCGGGAUCCUUGAUGCAUCUGUAGAUACCACACCACUUAGUGUGUGGACCACCUCUUAGUUUUGCCUUGUCUGCUGCUCGUCUUCCAUCAUCCUGAUUGAGGUCCUUUCUGUCAGGUGGCACAUGAUGUGCUCACGUGUUCAGCUUUGGGUACUUGAUGAAGGUGGCGUCUGCUGGGAUUCCCUAGCCUAACGUCACCCCUUUCCACCUCCCGUGCAGCUUUCUGAUGCUAUCUAUGGCUGUGAAGCUUUAGCCUGCCCAUUUACUAUAUGACUGCUGGCUUAAUAACAUUCUAUUUUAUUUAAUGGGGUGUAAUUCCUCAUUGUUCUUUGGUAUACAGGCCACCUUGCAUUUAGAGAGUGGCUCCUAGGUCCCUUUAGAACUUUCUGAAUUAUUUUAUUCUAAUACUUUCUUAAUCCCAGGCACACUGUGUUUUGCUGGAUCCUGCUUGGGUUUGUGGCCCAGGAACGGAGUAGUCAGUGGGCUUGUAAUCCCCACCAGAGGAGACUGAUGUAUAGAAGCCAGAACUAGACCUUGUAUGUGCCGAUUGCUCCUGGGGGGUUGCAGCUCCCAGAACCCUGAGUAAUUAACAGGUGACAGUCAUUGCUGAGCAUUAUGUACUGCUAGUCACAGGCUCACAUUGCUGCCUCCAGCACACAGGGCAUGCUCCAUUUUAGUGUUCUCCGGUGCACAACUGUAGCUCUCUCUUCCAACAGGGGGAAAGUUGGAUCUCACUGGCUUGUGUGUAGUAUUUCUCUUUUAUCUGGUGCAUUUCAGGCUACUCUUCUGUGCAGAUGUGCCCUUAUCUUUUCUGGAUAGCAGGAUUCUGCACUAAGCUCUUUCUCUUCACAGGUAUGGGUACACUCCUUACUAUAGUGGGCACCAUUUUGGACACAUGCCCAUUGUACAUUAAGAAGGCAUGUCUUCCUCUAGUAGAGUGAAGGGCCAUGUGCAGUUUUAUUCAUCUUGGCAAAGAGGAGGGGUGUCUAGUACUCAUUUACCUCAAUUCAUCCUUCUCCUUGGGUUGUACAUAAAAUAUACAAUUUUAUGUGACAGCCCUGAUGUGACUCCAUGUCAUUGGCUACCGUUGCUUGGGCAGUGGUGGCUGUUCCUUGGAACUGAGGCAUGGCUGCAGAUUUGCUGCUUGGGUUUGAGAAACAUUGUUGCUGUUGGCUCUGAGCUGGGAAUGGGGUAGAUAGGGUAGGAAGACAAGGGCUAGAAAAAGGCCUAUUGGAGGCUUGGGAGAAGCACUGAGUAGCGGGCCCUGGGUUCUGUCUGACACUCAUUGUAACCCUGUGCUUGAUAUUUGAAGGACAACUGUACAUUAGUGUGACUCUUUCACUCUUCAGGUUUUGUGGACCACGUAUGCCAGGCCCUGUGAUGAACUGCACUGUUGUCUGGCAAGGGUCUCAGAUACAGAGACUAAUUAAUCAGUCUUCUAGAUGGGGCAGGAUGCUCACCAAAGACUAGCCUGAUUGGACAUGAGGUGGGAAUCAAAGGAGAGCCAUCCAACUAGGCAUCUACUUCGUCUUCUAGCUUCUGGAUGAAGAAGUGAAGGGUUUGAGCAGGUUCGUGGUCCCGAGGAUGUGUAGUGUUUUAUAAAGGCCCAUGCCUGCUUUCUCCUGCCUCCUCUGCUGUGGAUGUUUACUUCAAGAAGGUGGUGUCAGUCUCUUACAGAUAAUCCAGGAACCAGAUGGCCUUCAUUUCUCUCUCCCUGAUUAGUUCUAUAAAGCUAAUUGUCCAACUGAGAAAGGCUUGAUUUUAUAGGCGUAUAGGGGAGUCUUGCUGUUUACUGCUUUUUACCCCCUUUCUUGCCAGAGGCUGUGUUCAGCAGGAGAACCUGGGUUGAACAGCAGAGAGAUUUGGAAGACUUGUCUAUGUGAGGAGUCACCGUGUAUAGAUAGAUAGGUCUGAAAACAUCUCCCUUAAUUCUCUGAGCUAAAGGUGUGCCCAGUGUGGUUCUCAGAGCCUCCACUGUGCACUGUCUUUUCCUCUGUCAUAUUUUAAAUGGCUUUGACUGACAGCAGGAAGUUUGUGUAGUCUUUUUCAGACAAUGUCUGCAUUAAUGCCCUGUAGGCAAAGGCCUGGUAAGUGCAGGAGACCAUAUUAAGGAAUUAUAAUGUAAAAUUUAUGCUGAAUUAUAAAUGUGCAGGAACACAUUAUUCUAACUAAUUAUGAAGCUUACAAAGAGGCCAAGUGGUACUUGGUAAAUCUGAUUACUUAGGGUGGUAGAAAAACUAUUUUUUGCAGCACUGGAAAUAUUAUGCGUUGUGCCUUUUAUGCAGAGUAAAGAUAAUAGAGGCUGGAAUACAGGAUUAGCCGUGUGCUAUGUGAAAGAUGGCAGGCUUAAAAAAUCCAUUUGUAUUUCUGGAAAACUGUCUUAAUAAUCCACACGCCUUUCCAAUUUAACUCUGAAAGUUAAGUAAAGUUUGUGGAGAGGCAUCCAUUAAGGAGCUGAUGAGCUAGUUGGGCCUUCCAAGCCCAGACUAUAGUGUUAGGGCCCUGUGUUGUGAAAGCAUGAUCAUGGUGUAGUGUCAGGGUGUGAGGUAUAUGGGCUGUGUGCUUGUGUGCCCUGCUAACAUUCAGCUGUGAAUUCAAAUUGCAUCUCCAUGCAAGUGUAUUAUUUUUAAUGAAGACUGCAACAUGGUGGGGUAUUCUAAAUUAGGCCUGAUUAUAAUUGCAGAUGGUAAUUGAGCCUUUGGAAGCUGUUUUCUUAAACUGCUACAUAAAAAUUGUCUUUUUCAGUAUUGGUUUGUAGAAGUUUAGCGCUUGUUUAGGGAAAACUGUCUUUUAGCUCCUCCUUUUCAUUCAGUGUAUCUAUCUUCUUUAAGGGCCUUUGGCUCUGAAAACAUUUUUGCCUAGGACUUUCUUCAUAAUGGAUUAAAUAUAUUUUUGGCCCCCUCCAUGACAGAUGUUUUCCAGAUGACUUCUGGAUGGUUACUGAGUCAAAGUAGUCAUAUUCUCCUUUACUAUCAAAAGUACAAACCUCAGUGUGUUUGCUGGUCAUAGCACCUUGACUUAGCUACCUUCUGUUUGGAAGGCAAAUAUGACUUUAUUCAGUAUUUGAGUGUGGCUGGAUAUCAGCUGGAUGGCUUCUAUGUGGACUUACCUGUGAAUGGAAAUCAGAUGUACCCUGGUUCUCUCUGUUAAUAGGUAUGUAGACUUGCUUAUUCUGGCACCCACAAUCACAACUUCAAGAUGUUGCUUCCUCUCAGGGGAUGUUAGACAAUCUCUGGUUUCACGUCUGCCUGCCUGCCUGCCUUCCUUCCUUCCUUCCUUCCUUCCUUCCUUCCUUCCCCUCUCUCUUUUAUUUAUUUAUUUAUUUUUUUUUUUAUUUAUUUAUUUUAAUUUUUGUUUUUUGGGUUUUCGAGACAGGGGUUCUCUGUGCAGCCCUGGCUGUCCUGGAGCUCACUCUGUAGACCAGGCUGGCCUCGAACUCAGAAAUCCGUCUGCCUCUGCCUCCCAAGUGCUGGGAUUAAAGGCAUGCACCACCACUGCCCGACUUCUUUUUAAAUUUAAAGCCACAUGAAUCGUGUAUUUAAUUGCAUGCAUGUGUGUCACACAUAUAUACAGCUACUUUGGUAUUUCUAUGGAGGCCAAAAGACAGUUACCAGGAGUUGGUUCUCCCCAUCCACCAUGUGGGUUGUGAAGAUCAAAAUCAGGUCAGCAGGCAUGGCAGUAGGUUUAGUUCAGUGUUGGUGUUCUUUGGUAUUGGUCAGGUACAGUGUGGCACAGAACAGCUCCAUAAAUGCCCAUAGGGCAGCUGUUGGGAAACGCAGAGCCAAUGGCGUCUCAUUGGUCUCCAGCUACGACAAUGGCCAUGAGCUCUCUGGAUCAGAUGUCCUCUAAUUCUUUUUAGUUUUGCGGUUGCAUGUUAAACUAAAUAUCAAUUCAUAGGAAAUACUCUUUUCUGGCUAGGGGCAGAGCUCAACACUUGAGUAUUUGGCUCGUAUGCAGGGAGGCCCCAAGUUUUACCCAUAGUAUUUUCCCACCUACCCUCUAACCAUCAUCUUGUCGAAAAGAAAAAGUGGAAAUGAAGUCACAGGUGAACCCCUAUCAGCCCUGGACUGUGUAACCUAUUCCUACCAGGCACUGGGUUUACUGAUGAGCCGCAGCGAGCCUCUGUUUCCACCGCGACCAAGUCUGCUUUUGUUGCUGAGUUUCUCACCCCUUCAGGACUUGUUCUCCUAAGUGACAGCUUCUUCAGAAAGUGCUGACAGAAGGAUCUGAAUCAUACAGUCAUUCUCUUUCAGUGUGAACUUUGCCUGCUGAAGGCUGGAGGUGCACAGUCAUUAUGCUUAGCCGUGUUACAGUCUAUGUCCACAACCCAGAAAAGGAGGAAUCCUGGGAACCAGUAAUGAAUGGAGUAACAGAAGGUCAUUCUUGAGCAGUGACACUUUUAAUCUAUCGAUCUAUUGAUCUAUCUACCUACCUUCUAUCGAUCUAUCUAUCUAUCUACCUACCUACCUACCUUCUAUCUAUCUAUCUAUCUAUCUAUCUAUCUAUCUAUCUAUCUAUCUACUUACCUACCUACCUACCUACCAUCUACCUACCUACCUGUCUGUCUGUCUGUCUGUCUAUCUAUCUAUCAUCUAUGUGUGUUUAUGUGUCUGUGUGUGCAUGCAUGUGCACUGUGUGUCAUGGUGCAUGUGUGGAGGUCAGAGGACAACUUACUGCGGUUGGUUUUUUCUUUUACUAUGUGAGUCCUAAGAAUUGAACCUAGGUCGUGGGUCUUGGCUGCAAAGGCCUUUCCCCACUGAGCUAUUUUUCUGGCUUUCGAUUUUUAUUCUGUUCUCCACAAAAGGAGAAGAUAAGGGUGGAAGAUGUCAGAGCUCAGGUACAUUUUGUAGCUGUAUGCACCCCUCCUUUAAGCACAUGCAGGGAACUGAAAUUACAAUUUGCCUAUUAUAUGUUGACAGUAAUCUUUCAAAAAAUGGUUUUUUAUGUUUUUAAGUCAGGCAGCCAGCAGCAGCAGUAGCCAAUGAUAGAUGGGGCUAUUGAUGUGAAUCGAAUCUGCAGAGAGAAAAUUGGAUUUGGUUGUAGUAUGAACUUACGGUGAGGUACCAACAGAUGUGUAAUGGUCAGCCAUGGUUUUCCCCAGCACCAGGUACUAACUGAAUCCCCACUGACAUGACCCUGUGGAAAUGUUGUUUCCCCUCACCAGUGAAUUGAGGGCCUCUAGAGACAUCAACAGCAUCCUUCCUUUGGUUGUUAAGGAUUCUUGAAGUAAAAUAUCCUUUGGAGAGUAGGAGUGUGGAUCAGAGAUCUUCAUUGAUCACCUAGUCUCAUUAGUAAGGAAAUUUUAAGUGUGCCCUCAGCAACCAUAUAUGUUUUUCAGUAAUGUGUCUGUGUUCUUUCUGUGUGUGUGUGUGUGUGUGUGUGCGCGCGCGCGCGCAUACGCACGUGCACACAUAUAGAAGCCUGAAGUUGAGUUUGGGAAUCUUCUUUGAUAGCUCUAUACCUUAUUCUUUGACUCAGGGUGUCUCAGUUGAACCUACAGCAUACUGAUGGCUUGCGUGGGAAUUUCCUGUUUCUUCCCAAGAGCUAGAAUUACAGAUGGGCUGCCACACUUACACAGAAUUGGUGUGGCUGCUGUGUGUAAGGUCUUGUCCUCAUGCUUUGUAGAGCAGGUGCUUUAUGUGCUGAGCCAUUUCUGCAGAUCAACCUAAAAAUCCAUCCAUCCAUCCAUCCAUCCAUCCAUCCAUCCAUCCAUCCAUCUAUCCAUCUGUCCUCCCUCCCUCCCUCCCUCCCUCCCUCCUUUCCUUCCUUCCUUCCUUCCUCCCCCCCCCCCCGCCCCCGUACUGUGGGUAUAAGCUAGAAAUGACAGAUACAGUAGUGCUAUGGGGGCCAUUGCCCGGUCCUGUAGAACACUGAGCCCCAGCAUCUUCUUUAAAAAGACAGUUUAGGCACAGGAGAUGGCUCAGCCUGUGCUGUUCCUGUUUUCGAAGAAGACUUGAGUUCGGCUCCUAGUGCUCUUGUAAUUCUGUCUCCCAGGGGAUCUGAUGCCUCUGGCCUGGGAAGGCACCUGUAUUUCCCUCUCCCUCUCUCCCUCUCUCCCUCUCUCCCUCUCUCCCUCUCUCCCUCUCUCCCUCUCUCCUUCCCCCCUCUCCCCUCCCCCCCACAGAGACACAAAGUGACUUAACAAGUUUGGGAGGUGAGACAGGAGGAUCCCGGGGUUACUGGCUAGCCAGACUUGCUGAAUGAGUAUAGUCUAGGUUAAGGAGAAGAAAGACCUUCCUUUCCUCAGAAGAAAAUAAGAACGGAGAGUGCUGGAGAAAGACCGCUGAUGUCAUUGUCCAGCCUCUCUGUGUACCCACACAGGUUUGGACACACAUGAAUAUACACAUGCUCCCCCCCCCCCCAAUAAAAUAAGUGCUUUAACAUUGAUUCUGUGAUUCUGUGUGAAUAUGUAGCAGGAGUUGCAGAUAGGAUCAUGUUAACACUAUAGAGUCAGAGUUUUGUUCUGUUCUGUUUUUUUUUUUUUUGUUUUUUUUUUUUUUUGUUUUUUUUUGGUUGGUAGAGUCAGAGUUCUUAAGUUCCUUGCAGCUCACACAUCCCUCAGGUCUUACCCAGACACCCAGACUCAGAUGUGUCCCAAGCUCUUUAUCUCACUUAUUUCUUUUCUUUUCCCCUUUUUCUGUGUCUGCUCUCUUUCCUUUGUUGAGGAGACACAGCAUGUAGAUGGGUAAACGUGUCUCUUCUGACUCAGAGAAGGUGGAUUAAGAGCAUCCAACUUCCAGUUAAGAAAGUCAGAGUAUGUGGAUACGCGAGAGAACUCAGCCUGUCCCUUUGUUCAGGCUGUGUCUUGGGGAGCUAGUUAACACAUCUCUCCCUUCUCGCAUCUGCGGACUGUGGUAACUCGUGUCACCUCUCUGGAGGAUGAAGUAAACAUGUGAACCACCAGCACAGGGCUCACAUUACAUCACUGUCUCUUUAACUUUGGCUUAACAGUUCCCUCAACAAUUCAAGGGCGAAAUAUUUUGGUCCUUUCAAUUCCUUGGAAGCCUUGAAAGUAUCAGUCAGACAGAAGGUCUCUUGCCCCAUGUUUGUACCCUGUCUCCUGUUUCAGAUUCUCAAUAAAUAACUCAGCUUGCCUUGAACUUUCUCCAUCCUUCUGCCUCCUGCUCUGUGAUCAUAGGUGUGACACACCCUGGGUGUCUUUCGAGAUCAUACUGUGAAGGUCUUCAUUCUGCCUCAGAAAGAUCUCCAUAGCAGAAUGACUGGUGGGAUCCUGUGUUCUUGACAAAGACUGUUUGUUUCCUCUUUCUUAGUAAAGUAAGCCUGAAGCCUCAGCUUGCUUUUGUGGGUACUGUUCUGGCCUUUUCCGUAUCGCAGUGCUUAGAGGAUAACCUAAUUCUUAGUAGCUAGAUAGGAAGACGCUCUUUGGUUUAAGUUCCUUAAAUCUUGGCUUUGGCCUUAAUCAAAAGACUCUUUUUAGGUUUCUAAAAAGUUACUGAGAAGAGGGGACCCUGAGGGAUAGCAGGAAGAUUGCUUGCUGUAAUUAGUGUGGGACAGAAGUUGCUAUAUUUCCCAUGUCACUCACUCACUCAGUCGGGAUACUUUCUUUUGCUAUUAUUUUUAGGUGGCAGAUUGCAGUGCGUAUUUUAGGACCUGCCACCCACUUUGAUUUGAAAGCUUAUGUUGUCGGGAUGUUUAGCUACUGCAGGUAAAGACCUAAUUUUGCUAAAUAACGGACUUCAGGAUCUUGUUAAUUAUAUUACUUUUGCAACUGAAGGUGUUUCUCUCUAAUUUGUUAAGCAAAUAACUAAAUUCUAUAAGAGCAAAGUGAAACUUUUCAUGUUUUUGGAAUCCAUUUUCUGGUUUAGCAUAGUCUUUAAUAGCUUUACAUUAAUAGAAAAGAAGUAUGGGUUGCUGAGCAAACAUGAAGGAUGAAAUAUUUUGGCUCUUUGCAGUUAGUAGUUGCCUCUGCCUCUGUUACUCUUUUCCCCCUUACGUUGCUUCUAGGAAUGGAUAUGUGCUCCUUUGAAGGAAGUGUAGUGCUCUUUUUGCCUGUUCUGGAACUAUGGCGUCAGCUCCUAAAGCUCAAGGGCAGGCCGACUUUUCUACUGUGUGUGUUCACAGCAGGGGAAUCUCUCACAGGCAUGUUCAGGAGCAGGGUUUUUGUGGAUGCAAGCAACAGAAUGGAAGGUAGCUUUGGAAGGACUCGAUAGGUUUGCUACAGAAUAAAGGAAAGGUUGGUGAGGGCAGGAGCCAGCAUAGCGGGGGAAUGAUGACUUAGUGCACUAGUCAGGGAUCUCCAGAGGAACAGCUGCUAGAAGGAAUUUGUAUAUAUUAAAGGGGGAUUUAUUAGAGUGGCUUAGAGCUGGGUCCAGCUAGUCCAACUUUGCCGUCUCCCAACAGAGAGGCCGGGAACCUGGUAGUUGUUAGUCUAUGAGGCUGGAUGUCUCAGUUUAUGUUGGAAUCCUAAAAAAGUAUGUUCUAAUACUAGUGAAGGAACAACCUAGCUGCCAGAUAGAUGAACCUGUCAACAAGAGUAAGAACAAGCAGGCAAAAAGCAAUAGCUUCCUUCUUUCAUGUCCUUUUAUGUGAGCUGCCAUACAAGGUGUGGCCCCAAUUCUUGGUGGCCAUUCUGACUUCAAAUGAUCCACAUUUAGGGUGAGCCUUCAAACAUUAAAUAAUCUGAUCCAGAAAAUCCCAGUACCUGUGCCCAGCUGCUUGAGCUUUAGUUGAUUCCAGAUGCAGUCAAGUCAACAGUGCAGAUCAGCCGUGACAGCUAGUGAGAGGGGACUAGUUCCAAUCAGGUUCAGCUUUCAUGGAGGACACUGAACAUUCAGAUCCCUUCUUGUGGGGGACAGGGUACCUGUGUGGAUAAUUGAUCAAAAUUACAGACUGUGACAUUUCUCCUUUUCAUGGAGAAAUGCAAGUUUGGUUUGUAAAGUCUCCCCUGCUGAGCUUUCUUUCUUGAAGGUUAUUCCUUCCGUUACACUGUGGAGCCAACAGGGGCUCUAAGGACCCCACUCCAGUCCCAAUUGGGUCAGUUCAUCAGUUCCUGAUUGGGAAAGCAAAUCUCUCACAGUUGGUGGAGAUGAGGUGCUAGGGGGAUGUAGGGAAGUGAUUGGAAAGGAUCAGCUAAAGAAGACAAAAGGUGGUUGCUGUUGGUGGAAGCUUGGGAAAGAACUUGAAGGAUUGUAAGAAUCCUUGAUCAAACUAAACUGUAAAAGACAGCAAUAGGCAGGCUGAGGCUUUCUUCAUUUUAUUAUCAAACCCCAAACACAGUCUAAUGUGUGCUUAGAAAAUGCCCUGGGUUAUGGGGAAGGGGGCAACCGAAAAGCUAACCUAUUGCCUGUCUUAGUUACCAUUCUGUUGCUGUGAAGAGACAUCAUGACCAAGGCAACUUACAGAAGAAAACAUUCAACUGGGGGCUUGCUUACACUUUCAGAAACUUCCAUUAUCAUCAUGGCAGGGAGUGUAGCUGUAGGAAGGCAGGUGUGGUGCUGGAGUGGUAACUGAGAGUUACAUCCUAACCCACAGACAGUAUAUACAUGUACACACACACACCACCACCACCACCACCACCACCACCACCUCAGAAGAUAUAUUGAACAAGAAUAGCUUAGAAGAGGACAAUCCUUUCCCAACCCUUCUUCAAUUUGUAACACAUCUUGGCCAAGGUUCUGAGAUUUUUUUUUUUUUUUUUUUUUUUGGAUGGUGCUUUACUGCAUGGGGGUUCUAGUUUUGGGAUGGCUUCAUUGGUAAUGUGCUACUGAAGGGAGGCGCACGGGGUGGGAGGGCGGGGGAAGAACCAUAUGUUGCUGGCUAGUCCCAAUUGGUCUGGAACUCACAGAGACUCUCCUGCUCCUGCUUCCUAAAUACUGCUGUAAACAGUGCCUGGGUCCCACAGAGGAACACACAGUGUGGAAAUGGCUCAGAAAGAACAUCAUUUUUGCAAAAAAGUCCAAAUCAGGCUAGCAUGUACACAGAGUAUGCCCUGUGCCUCCUUUCCAGCCUGUGACCGAUGACUUUGCUGUGUUAGGCCAUCCUCGUUAGUGUUCUAGGAUACUGCAUGGACAUGAUGAACCUGUUCACCUGUACGCUGUUGAGGAGCAUUGGGCGUUCCAGGUGAACUCAUCUGCUGUGGGGGUCAUAGAGUGUCACAGAAUGCCUGAGGUAGGCUGCCUCAGGAUAUUUUGGAAAUAGUGAACUUUCUUGCUUCUCUUGAGAGUUCUGGAUGGUGGGACCGCUUUAAAUCCUAUUCCAGGCAUAAGCAUUAAGAUGCUGAAGUUUGUACACACAGGAUGUUCCCAUCCCCUUUAAAUUUAGAGCCCAUGUCUUACUGCUGCUUUCUUUUUCUUUGCAAACCUUUUAAGCAGCAAGACCAUUAAGUCUCUGGAAUGAAGCUCAUUGCUCAUGUAUUAAGUAAAUAACAUUCCUGUCCCAACAGGAUUUUUUUUUUAAGGAUCAUUUUUAGGUGACAUUAUGUAUUUGCAGGGGCUUGUCUUCAAAUAAAGGCCUAAUUGAAAUACAGCUGAAGAGGAAUCAAGAGUGCAACUCAGGUUUAAGGUGAAACGAUGCUAUCCCUCACUGCUUCACAGAUAAUUGCUUCAUGGUACACAUUUCCUGAUGAAGCUUUUGAAAAAAAAAUCAAGCAUUUUUCUUAGCCAUAGUCCUUCCUGUCCAUCCUGACACGAUAGAGGGACAGCCUUUUUUUCCCUCUCUCAGCAGUGAUUGUAGAAAUCGCUUGUUGCUUGGAAAUCAGCGAUUGCCUUCUGGUGUGCCAUUAAAAAGGAAUUUGGUGUCCUGAAUUCCAUUUUUAUUUAACAUAAGAUGUUAAGAGUUGGCAGUUUCUCUGUCAGCAGAAAGUGGGAUGUGUAAAUGGCUUAAACAUUUUCUUUUAUCGUUCAACUAUUAACAUUCAAAACCCACAUAAGCCAAGGAAUUGACAAUGCUUAAUAAACUAGAGGGGGGGGGUUGAUUGUUUCUGUCUUUCCUGCCAAAUUAUUCACCACCUCAGUAAUCCUGGAAAGAAAGGUUGUGGAGCGGCUAGGUGCCAGGCGGGCAGGUGCUAAUCAAUCAGAAGGAGGAGUUCAGGGUGGGAGCCAGCGUGCUGCUCGGUAAAACCGUUUACACACUGUGAUUCACCUACAGUAUGCUUUAAGGAAGAGAGUAAUAAUGGAGUUCAGACCCCUGGAGCUGAUGCCAGAAUAGAUCACAAUACAAACCGACAGACCUCGGAUUCUGUUAGCAAAACAAACAAAAUGAGGGGAAUUCAUGCAGAUGGCCUAGUUCUUCAACCCACUGGUCAGUUUGCAGAGGCAAAGACAGCCCUUUGGAUUAAAGCAGACUUCAGGACUUCAGCCACAGUCACUGUGAGGAACUGGGUCCUGAUUUGAACAGAUUGAUAAUGAAAACUUAUUUUUCAAAGGAGAAAUGUGAAUACUGGAUGGUGUCUGACUUGUGGCAUUAUUGCUGGUCUGUAGGUCUAGACUGACAGUGGUGUUGGGCUGGCUCAAUUCUGAGAAAGUGCCUGAUGUACCAACAGAAGGUCAUGGGUUGGACUGCCCUUCUCCAUGUACAAGUUAGAUGCCAAGGUGUGCAUGUAUAACCCCUGUGGGGAGCUACAGGGGAAGAUACUCUAAGGUGGCUUCUACUCUGAGUGUGCACAUGUACACACACACACACACAUACACACACACACACAGAAUCACAUUCAGGGCAGCCUUAUCUUUUAGUGACUGAUACUGAAUCUCUUAUGAGUGGAAAUUUGAUGCCAUUUAGCUGGGUGUGGUAGUUCACUCCUUGAAUCCCAGCCCUUGGCACAUGGAGGCAAGAGUUGAGGGUCAGCCUACACUGUGUGAAAUCAUGUCUCUAAGAAAAAUCCCCCAAACUAAACAAACCAAACAAAAAAUUCUGAGUUAAUGUACAAAAAAUAAUUGUUGACAUACACAGGCAUAGUCAGCGAAAGGAAAUACAUGUGUGGGCACCCCUCUUUCAGAAUGUUGGAAAAUUCAUAGUUCAGUAAAAAAAAAAAA